rnacentral:rRNA from 1 species
GAUGAACGCUGGCGGCGUGCCUAAUACAUGCAAGUCGAGCGAACGGACGAGAAGCUUGCUUCUCUGAUGUUAGCGGCGGACGGGUGAGUAACACGUGGAUAACCUACCUAUAAGACUGGGAUAACUUCGGGAAACCGGAGCUAAUACCGGAUGAUCUUUUGAACCGCAUGGUUCAAAAGAGAAAGACGGUCUUGCUGUCACUUAUAGAUGGAUCCGCGCUGCAUUAGCUAGUUGGUAAGGUAACGGCUUACCAAGGCAACGAUGCAUAGCCGACCUGAGAGGGUGAUCGGCCACACUGGAACUGAGACACGGUCCAGACUCCUACGGGAGGCAGCAGUAGGGAAGCUUCCGCAAUGGGCGAAAGCCUGACGGAGCAACGCCGCGUGAGUGAUGAAGGUCUUCGGAUCGUAAAACUCUGUUAUUGGGGAAAAACAUAUGUGUAAGUAACUGUGCACAUCUUGACGGUACCUAAUCAGAAAGCCACGGCUAACUACGUG